AUGUUUCCGCAGAAUGAUCUUGGCAGUAGAAUUAUAACGACUACUCGAAUUGAGAAUGUAGCUUCUGCCUGUUGCAAUCAUCGCCAUGACCGUAUUUAUAAGAUUGAACAUCUCAACAACCAAGACUCAAGAAGAUUAUUUUUCAGGAGAGUUUUUGGUACAGAAGAUAACUGCCCUGAGCAUUUUGAGAAAAUUUCAGAGGAAAUUUUAAGGAAAUGUGGAGGUGUGCCUUUGGCCAUAAUAAGCAUAGCUAGCCUGUUGGCUAGUCAACAAGUUAUGCUAAGGACAAAAUGGGAGAUGGUAUUAAGUUCUUUAGGUUCCAUGUUGGAGGAGAACUCUGCUUUCAGAUGGAUGAACCAUGUCCUAAAUCUUAGCUAUAAUGAUCUCCCUCAUGAUCUUAAGACAUGCAUGCUUUAUCUUGUUACAUUUCCUGAGGAUUCUAUCAUUAGGAAGGACCAUUUGUUGAGGCGAUGGAUUGUAGAAGGCUUCGUC
rnacentral:rRNA from 1 species